rnacentral:rRNA from 1 species
GAUGAACGCUGGCGGCGUGCCUAAUACAUGCAAGUCGAGCGAGCGGACGCUACGCUUGCUUCUCUGAUGUUAGCGGCGCACGUGUGAGUCACACGUGUAUCCCCUCCCUAUCUGACUGGGAUCACUUCGGGACACCGGCGCUAAUACCGUAUAAUAUUUUGCACCGCAUUGUUCAAAAGUGAAAGACGGUCUUGCUGUCACUUCUCGCUGCAUCCGCGCUGCAUUAGCUAGUUGGUACGGUAACGGCUUACCAAGGCAACGAUGCAUAGCCGACGUGAGAGGGGGAUAGGCCACACUGGAACUGAGACACGGUCAAGAGGACUAAGGGAGGCAGCAGAAGGGAAUCGGCCGCAAUGGGCGAAAGUCUGACGGAGUAACGCCGCGUGAGUGAUGAAGGUCUUCGGAGCGGAAAAAUCGGUUAUUAGGGAAGAACAGAUGUGGAAGGAAAUGUGCAGAGAGUGACGGUACCGAAUCAGAAAGCAACGGCUAACUACGUG